rnacentral:rRNA from 1 species
UACGUAGGGCGCAAGCGUUAUCCGGAAUUAUUGGGCGUAAAGAGCUCGUAGGCGGUUUGUCGCGUCUGCCGUGAAAGUCCGGGGCUCAACUCCGGAUCUGCGGUGGGUACGGGCAGACUAGGGUGAUGUAGGGGAGACUGGAAUUCCUGGUGUAGCGGUGAAAUGCGCAGAUAUCAGGAGGAACACCGAUGGCGAAGGCAGGUCUCUGGGCAUUAACUGACGCUGGAGGAGCGAAAGCAUGGGGAGCGAACAGG